GACGAACGCUGGCGGCGUGCUUAACACAUGCAAGUCGAGCGGUAAGGCCCUUUCGGGGGUACACGAGCGGCGAACGGGUGAGUAACACGUGGGUGACCUGCCCUCAGCUCUGGGAUAAGCCUGGGAAACCGGGUCUAAUACUGGAUAUGACUCCAUGACGCAUGUUGUGGGGUGGAAAGCCUUGUGCGGCUGAGGAUGGGCCCGCGGCCUAUCAGCUUGUUGGUGGGGUGAGGCCUACCAAGGCGACGACGGGUAGCCGGCCUGAGAGGCGACCGGCCACACUGGGACUGAGACACGGCCCAGACUCCUACGGGAGGCAGCAGUGGGGAAUCUUGCGCAAUGGGCGAAAGCCUGACGCAGCGAUGCCGCGUGAGGGAUG
rnacentral:rRNA from 1 species